rnacentral:rRNA from 1 species
CUUGCUUCUCUUGAGAGCGGCGGACGGGUGAGUAAUGCCUAGGAAUCUGCCUGGUAGUGGGGGAUAACGUCCGGAAACGGACGCUAAUACCGCAUACGUCCUACGGGAGAAAGCAGGGGACCUUCGGGCCUUGCGCUAUCAGAUGAGCCUAGGUCGGAUUAGCUAGUUGGUGGGGUAAUGGCUCACCAAGGCGACGAUCCGUAACUGGUCUGAGAGGAUGAUCAGUCACACUGGAACUGAGACACGGUCCAGACUCCUACGGGAGGCAGCAGUGGGGAAUAUUGGACAAUGGGCGAAAGCCUGAUCCAGCCAUGCCGCGUGUGUGAAGAAGGUCUUCGGAUUGUAAAGCACUUUAAGUUGGGAGGAAGGGCAGUAAAUUAAUACUUUGCUGUUUUGACGUUACCGACAGAAUAAGCACCGGCUAACUCUGUGCCAGCAGCCGCGGUAAUACAGAGGGUGCAAGCGUUAAUCGGAAUUACUGGGCGUAAAGCGCGCGUAGGUGGUUCGUUAAGUUGGAUGUGAAAUCCCCGGGCUCAACCUGGGAACUGCAUUCAAAACUGACGAGCUAGAGUAUGGUAGAGGGUGGUGGAAUUUUCCUGUGUAUCGGUGAAAUGCGUAGAUAUAGGAAGGAACACCAGUGGGCGAAGGCGACCACCUGGAACUGAUUCUGACACUGAAGGUGCGAAAGCGUGGGGGAGCAAACAGGAUU